rnacentral:tRNA from 1 species
GGGGUUGUGGCUCAGUGGUAGAGCGCUCGCUUCACAUGUGUGAGAUCCUGGGUUUGAUUCUCAGCACCA